rnacentral:rRNA from 1 species
UGGGGAAUAUUGCACAAUGGGCGCAAGCCUGAUGCAGCCAUGCCGCGUGUGUGAAGAAGGCCUUCGGGUUGUAAAGCACUUUCAGCGAGGAGGAAGGGUAGUGUGUUAAUAGCACAUUGCAUUGACGUUACUCGCAGAAGAAGCACCGGCUAACUCCGUGCCAGCAGCCGCGGUAAUACGGAGGGUGCAAGCGUUAAUCGGAAUUACUGGGCGUAAAGCGCACGCAGGCGGUUUGUUAAGUCAGAUGUGAAAUCCCCGCGCUUAACG